GAUGAACGCUGGCGGCGUGCCUAACACGUGCAAGUCGAGCGAAUGGACGAGACGCUUGCCUCUCUGCUGUUAGCGGCGGACGGGUGAGUAACACGUGGCUAACUUACAUAUAAGAAUGGGAUACCUUCGGGAAACCGUAGAUCACAUAGGAUCAUAUUUUGAACCGCAUGGUUCAUCAGAGAACGACGGACCAGCUGAGACUAAUAGAUGGAACCGAGCUGCAUUAGCUAGUUGGUACGGUAACGGCUUACCAAGGCAACGAUGCAUAGCCGACCUGAGAGGAUGAUCAGCCACACUGGAACUGAGACACGGUCCAGACUCCUACGGGAGGCAGCAGUAGGGAAUCUUCCGCAAUGGGCGAAAGCCUGACGGAGCAACGCCGCGUGAGUGAUGAAGGUCUUCGGAUCGUAAAGCUCUGUUAGUAGGGAAGAACAGAAGUAAGAGUAUCUGUGGACAUCUUGACGGUACCUAAUCAGAAAGCCACGGCUAACUACGUG
rnacentral:rRNA from 1 species